AGAAGAAGAAAGAAAUGGAGAUAUUCAACCAUUGCUUUUCCUCAUUCACCAUUGUUUUUCCUCAUUCCACCUAGCUCUCAAAUUUUAUGCUCCUAAUUUUGCUUCAGUUUUUUUUGUUCGUAGAUCUCUUAGCCACUGUGUGCAUAAAUAAUAGGCACCUUUUUAGAGGAUGCACACCACUUCACACAUGACUGAGAAAUUUUGUCGAGAAGUAGAAGCCCAGGAAAUAAUUUACUACCACAAUGGCAUGUAUAUAAUGGUGUCAGUGCAAGGUAUUUACCAUAAGAAUCUUCUUAUCAGGUUGCUGAAGUUUUGAGGCGUCGAUCAAAGUUGAACGAUACUUCUAUAUCUGCAGACAGUUUCAUGAGUUUUUAAACCGCAUAAACAAGGUUGAAAGAACUUAAAUCUGCCUUGAUGACACUUGGUAGGGAAGCAAUCGUUGCUAUGUUAUUAGUUGAAAAGAACUGUAGCAACAAGUAACCAUCCAGAGCCUUUGUACAAUGUUGGUCGAGUGGUUAGCUCACUCGUCCGCUUAAGCAAGUGUCGGGGGUUUGAAUCCCGCCUUGUACAUGCAGCAACCCAUUGGCUAGCGGCAGACCCUAAUCCGCGACGGAUUAGUCCUUCACCUGUCGGGUUGGGGGAUACCGUGGGAAACCAAAAAAAAAAAUUGAGCAAUUUCAAGAAUCCAUUCCCCAUCUAAGGAAGCUUCCGCUCGAGAUUUUGAUAAGCGUUUGGAGAUGCUUUGUUGCUUCUGAACCUAUGCUUUCCUAUUGUCUUCAUUCAAUCAUGCGUGCUUCCUUCCAUGGCAAGCUGUAUGUUGGUGGAUCACCAUUGUCAAUGGCUACCAUCCGUCCUUUCAGUGAAAAUGGUCCAGGUACGGUUUUAGUAUGGCUAAUCAACUGUAGGAUCUCUCGUCUCGGAUGAAAAAUACCAGGCACAGUGAUAAACCACUAUUUUAUGGUUUAUAUUAUAUUUAAUUGAGUGAUUUUAUCAAGCUUUUCACCCACUUAUUCAUAGGAUUUGCAUGAUUUUACAAUUCCUUCCUAGUUUAGUUCUAUGAUUGAAAACAUGCUUCUUUGGUCUUAAUUUAGCUAAUCUUAAUCUUCUCUUAUUACCAUUCGAUGCCUUGAUCUGUGUGUUAAGUGUUUCAGGCUUCAAAGGACAGGAAUGGCUUAGAGAAUAAAGAGGAAGCGUGAAAAAAAUGGAAGGAACACAAGGAAUUGAGGAGACGACCAGCGAGAAGUCACGCAGUCGCAUGGCUCACGCGGCCGCGCGAAAUUGAAGAAAUCAGAGUGACGCGUUCGCGUGCCUGACGCGAUCGCGCGGAUUAGAAGCUGCACGAACGACGCGAAUGCGUGGACGAUGCGCACGCGUGGUACGAAAAAUGUUGAGUGACGCGAUCACGUGGACAACGCGGAUGCGUGACGUGCACAAUCUGCAGAAUUACAAAAGUCGCUGGCAGAGAUUCUGGGCCGCAUUUCAACGCAGUUUUCGGCCUAGAAUCAUUGAUUAAAGUCAGGGAACAUGCAAAGACUCAAGACAUCAAUUCAUAUCAGAUCAUAAUUCAAUUUUAGGUUUUAGAUGUAGUUUUUAGAGAGAGAGGUUCUCUCCUUUCUCUUAGGAUUUAGGAUUAAGAUUCCUCUUAAAGGAUUUAGGAUUUCGACUCUUCAUCAGGUUCAAUAUUCCUUUUACUUUAUAUUUCCCUUUUACUUCCAGAUGCUUUAAUGCUUGUAUUACUUAUGUUGCCUAUUUGGCUUAGUAACUUUUCAUGUUAGGAUUUUCUUAAUUAAUAUAAUUUGAGGUAUUUCAGACUUAUGAUUGUUU